AGCGAACGCUGGCGGCAGGCCUAACACAUGCAAGUCGAGCGGCCGUAGCAAUACGGCAGCGGCAGACGGGAGAGUAACACGUGGGAACGCGCCCUUCGGUUCGGGAUAACCCAGGGAAACUUGGGCUAAUACCGGAUACGCCCUUACGGGGAAAGAUUUAUUGCCGAAGGAACGGCCCGCGUCCGAUUAGCUAGUUGGUGAGGUAAUGGCUCACCAAGGCGACGAUCGGUAGCUGGUCUGAGAGGAUGACCAGCCUCACGGGGACUGAGACACGUCCCAGACUCCUACGGGGGGCAGCGGUGGGGAAUAUUGGACAAUGGGCGCAAGCCUGAUCCAGCCAUGCCGCGUGGGUGAUGAAGGCCCUAGGGUUGUAAAGCCCUUUCAGCGGGGAAGAUAAUGACGGUACCCGCAGAAGAAGCCCCGGCUAACUUCGUGCCAGCCGCCGCCGUAA
rnacentral:rRNA from 1 species